rnacentral:rRNA from 1 species
AUGGCGAGAAGGACCGGCUUCUCAGCCGGAGAAGGGACACAUGCAUCAUGGAGGCGCCGGCUGCGUGCGGCCUCCUCCCAUCCUCUUUUUCUGUUCGUCUCCUCUUUUCCCCUUCAUUCCACAAGGUCCCCGUCGGGGCUUAUAAAAACCACCCAAAUCAGGGGGGAUUUCAGGGAUCACAGGGAGUGCCCUCUUCCAAACCCCGACUACCAAAUGAUUACUCAAGGAUUCACGAGGAUUCUAAGCCUCGCGAGGAUAAUCCGAUUCAGACCCCGCCGCUACCGUCGACUAGAAGAAGAACAAGAACCCCAAGCCGUCCUCCAAGGGGUGCUAAUCGUCGGCGUGGACCAAUCGGGCAUGUGGUGGAUUGUCGCACGGGAUGAGAAGCCCCAGGUGGACGAGGACAUCGAGGAGAAGCGGAUGCGCGCAUGGACAUACAACUCCAUCGCUGGCAACGAUAGCGGUUGGACCACUCUACUUGUCCUGGAGCCUACACGCAGUGAUUCGCUCCGCCGCGGAGGAAUGACACCCCAUGUCGUCGGAGAGGGAAGGCGGCUCCGGGAGAAAGGAGGAUCUCUCUCCCCCGCGGCGAAGACAGUGGCACGACACGCCAUCUCCUAA